UUGGAGGGCAAGUCUGGUGCCAGCAGCCGCGGUAAUUCCAGCUCCAAUAGCGUAUAUUAAAGUUGCUGCAGUUAAAAAGCUCGUAGUUGAAUUUCGGGACCAUCAUGUCGGUCGUGCCUCGGUACGUACUGGCAUUGUUGGUUUCUCCCUUCUGACGAACCAUGAUGUCAUUUAUUUGGUGUUGUGGGGAAUCAGGACUGUUACUUUGAAAAAAUUAGAGUGUUUAAAGCAGGCUCACGCUUGAAUACAUUAGCAUGGAAUAAUGAAAUAGGACGUUUGAUUCUAUUUUGUUGGUUUCUAGGAUCGACGUAAUGAUUAAUAGGGAUAGUUGGGGGCAUUAGUAUUCAAUUGUCAGAGGUGAAAUUCUUGGAUUUAUUGAAGACUAACUACCGCGAAAGCAUUUGCCAAGGAUGUUUUCAUUAAUCAAGAACGAAAGUUAGGGGAUCGAAGACGAUCAGAUACCGUCGUAGUCUUAACCAUAAACUAUGCCGACUAGGGAUCGGAUGAUGUUAAUUUUUUAAUGACUCAUUCGGCGCCUUACGGGAAAC
rnacentral:rRNA from 1 species